UGGGCUCCAGGUGCAUCUGUGAUGUCAUUUCCUGUCUGUAAAAAGUCAAGCUGAACACCUGGGAUGGAUUUGUUGAUGCUUAGGGGCGGCUUACAUUUAAAAACAGCCCGCAGUCACUACAAUACCACGGCACUCAAAACUUCAGCACCCUACAUGCUGUAGUUUCCCCACCUGCAUAUAGAGGGCAGCGAAUCAAGACGUUCCUGUUCUUUCAAGAUACUGGUAUCAACAUCAGCCAUCAAAAUCUCCACCUCUAGUGGUUAUACAGCCAAACAUGUUGGCAUUAUGCAAAUCACAAGUGACCCGGACGGUUUCUGCCCACCUCAGAGAGGGUCGAAGGGGUUCAAUCAUGGUGUGUGGUACUAAACCUCAAGCACAUCGCUGCACCCUAAAGCCACGUCUCCUGAUCCACAGACAACAGGCCAGCUUGUGUGGCAUCGUUAGCGCUCGCUAAUGAAAAACACUCUUAGAGCAGUGAAGCAGU